GAUAACUCUGUGCCAGCAGCCGCGGUAAUACAGAGGGUGCAAGCGUUAAUCGGAUUUACUGGGCGUAAAGCGCGCGUAGGCGGCCAAUUAAGUCAAAUGUGAAAUCCCCGAGCUUAACUUGGGAAUUGCAUUCGAUACUGGUUGGCUAGAGUGUGGGAGAGGAUGGUAGAAUUCCAGGUGUAGCGGUGAAAUGCGUAGAGAUCUGGAGGAAUACCGAUGGCGAAGGCAGCCAUCUGGCCUAACACUGACGCUGAGGUGCGAAAGCAUGGGGAGCAAACGGGAUUAGAUACCCUGGUUAUCCAUGCCGGAAACGAUGUCUACUAGCCGUUGGGGCCUUUGAGGCUUUUAGUGGCGCAGCUAACGCGGUAAGUAGA
rnacentral:rRNA from 1 species